UUAAAAUUUAAUUUUGAUCCACUUAAAUUAAAAAUUUUUAAUAUUAAUUUAAAUUUGAUAUCCAAAAUUAAAUCUAAUUCAUCAUCCAAACUCAAAUUUUAUAAGAUUAAAAAUACAACUAUAUAAUUAUUGUUGGCAACAACUAUUUAAAUUUGAGUUAGAAUAUAAUAGAUACUUUUUACUAGAAUAUAAUAAAUAAAUUUAGUUUUUUAAAUUUAAAUUUUUAUUUUAAAUUUUUGAAUAAAUAUGAGGCGCAAAAUUAUAUUAAUUUGAGGUAACUAUUAAAAUAAUUAUUAUGUAUAUUUGCACGUAAACUUAACUACUACUGUUUUGCACAAAAUGAGAUCAAACCCUCAACCUCUAUGGCGACAAUUCAGGUAACAACCACUAGUCCAUUAGUUGUUGUCAUCUCUUUGUAUUAAACAUAGGAUUAGAUGUUGUUCAACAUGCAGUGAUUUUCUAAGAUAUUCUUACAAGUCCCACUUCUGCUAUUAGACUUAUUAUUUUGUUCGAUAUAUUCUCUAGAUUUACUUACAAAAUUUAUAUAUUUACACAAUGAGGAGUGUGAUCAAAUAUUUAGAAUAAAGUACUAUUUUUCAGAAUAAGAUAAAUUAUCUCAUACGUGAAAUAUGCUAUCCUACCAAAUCAUAGAUAGCAAGACUUUCAAGAAGUAAAAAAUCAAACUUUCUACUUAUGAUCAUAUUUGAAAAUUCUUAUACCGAAUAAAUUAUCCUAUAAUAACUUAUUUUGAAAUCCAAACAAGGCCUUCAAAGGCAUUCGAUUCAUACUAUACAAAAUUGCGAAAUAAUUAUAACGACCCAGCCCACUAGCAACAAUAACUCGUUGGGCCCAACAACCGGCCCAAAAUGCUUAAGCCCAGUUAUUAUUACUAGUGUCUAAGUCUCUUAUAAACCCAAUGACAACCCCAUUCCCAUCCGAUGUGGGACUAUUCGGGUGUCACAGACUCCCCCCGUUAAGGCCCUGACGUCCUCGUCAGUCCAAUCACACACACAGCCCAAGAUCACCAGGCGAUGUGAGACUCGUCUCGCUAGCCCGUCAUCUAGACCCUGGCUCAGCCGAGACUCGCCACACAUGUCCAGCUGGUGAACCGGCUCUGAUACCAAAUGUAACGACCCAGCCCACUAGCAAUAAUAACUCGUUGGGCCCAACAACCGGCCCAAAAUGCUUAAGCCCAAUUAUUAAUACUAGUGUCUAAAUCUCUUAUAAACCCAAUGACAACUCCAUUCCCAUCCGAUGUGGGACUAUUGGGGUGUCACAAUAAUGAAGGAUUUUCUAUUUUCUAUUUUCUAUGCUUUUUGUUUUCUUUUUCUU
rnacentral:lncRNA from 1 species